rnacentral:rRNA from 1 species
GUGAGGAAUAUUGGUCAAUGAGCGCAAGCCUGAACCAGCCAUCCCGCGUGCAGGAAGACGGCGCUAUGCGUUGUAAACUGCUUUUCCAGGGAGAGAAACUUGCGCACGUGUUGCGCAAUUGACGGUACCCUGGGAAUAAGCAUCGGCUAACUCCGUGCCAGCAGCCGCGGUAAUACGGAGGAUGCGAGCGUUAUCCGGAUUCAUUGGGUUUAAAGGGUGCGUAGGCGGACUAUUAAGUCAGUGGUGAAAUCCUGCAGCUUAACUGCAGAACUGCCAUUGAUACUGAUAGCCUUGAGUUUGGUUAAGGUAGGCGGAAUGUGUAAUGUAGCGGUGAAAUGCUUAGAUAUUACACAGAACACCAAUUGCGUAGGCAGCUUACUGAGCCGACACUGACGCUGAGGCUCGAAAGCGUGGGGAUCGAACAGGAUUAGAUACCCUUGUAGUCC